ACAACUGCAUCCCACAGAAGUGUCACUUAUGGAACUGUGAGCAGGCAGGCAGAUGUCACUGCGUCCUCUCAUCUGCGCUUAUUUUUCACAGAGCAUUAGCAGUCAAGGCAGGAAAUAGGAGUGCGGGCAGAAGGCUCCAGCCAGGGUGGGAAUGACUGCGUCAAAUGUCUCCCAAAGAGCACAAGACAAUUCCCUUAGUGUACAAAUCCCUUGAGGCUCCAGAAGAACAUAUGUGGUUUCUCUAACAAACGGCUCCUGCUCCCUCGCUUGCCGUGUUCACAGACCCUUUGCAUGAAAUCCUAUUGAAAAUCUUGAAGUAUAGAAGAGAACGUCAGAGGAACUGAGGCUGCAGCAGGUGAGCCUCAUCUGCCAGGUGCUGGCCUCCCCACUCCACGCCAUCCCGCUCCACUCAUCUCUCCGACUGCGCACAGCGCGAGUUUGAAAAGAAAUAAUAGGUUCUCAACAUAGUGUGUGCAGGAAUCACCUGGAAACUUACUAAUUAUGGAACAGUCCCCCUCAAAAAAUAGCAAGCCGAGCAAUUUGCCAUUUACCAUAUUUAUUGAGAAUUUAGAAAUACAGAAUGGUACAACAAUGAUAUCCUGAGAAAUACUAAUACUAAAGUAAUUAUUAAUUAAUAUUAAUACUAAACUGAGUGCAUCAUUCUGAA